rnacentral:tRNA from 1 species
GCGAAGAGAGCUAGAUGGUUUUAGCGUUAGUUUGUGAUUCUAACGAGUAUAGGUUCGAAUCCUAUUCUUCGCCC